rnacentral:rRNA from 1 species
UGAGGAAUAUUGGUCAAUGGGCGAGAGCCUGAACCAGCCACGUCGCGUGAAGGAAGACUGACCUUACGGUUUGUAAACUUCUUUUGUAGAGGGGUAAUGGCAGAUACGUGUAUUUGCGUGAAAGUACUCUACGAAUAAGCAUCGGCUAACUCCGUGCCAGCAGCCGCGGUAAUACGGGGGAUGCGAGCGUUAUCCGGAAUUAUUGGGUUUAAAGGGUGCGCAGGUGGCUAAUCAGGUCAGUGGUGAAAAGCUAUGGCUCAACCAUGGUCUUGCCAUUGAAACCGUAUAGCUAGAGAGGAGACGAGGUAGGCGGAAUGUGUGGUGUAGCGGUGAAAUGCAUAGAUAUCAGGAGGAACACCGGUGGCGAAGGCGGGUCUCUGGGCCGUUACUGACGCUGAGGAGCGAAAGCGUGGGGAGCGAACAGG